rnacentral:lncRNA from 1 species
AUUUGAAACAGCUUUGUUGCUUUGUCUUGGGAAGCGGUGAUUUAUAUAUAUGUAAAUACGCUAAAUUUUGAAAUCCCUCCUGAAGGUGGUGACACCCUGCAUUUUCCCAAGCAACUACGAACUGGCUAAUAACUCUGAUGCCAUUAAAAAUCAUGUAACCAG